rnacentral:rRNA from 1 species
UACGAAGGGGGCUAGCGUUGUUCGGAACCACUGGGCGUAAAGCGCACGUAGGCGGAUUGUUAAGUCGGGGGUGAAAUCCUGAGGCUCAACCUCAGAACUGCCUUCGAUACUGGCAAUCUCGAGUCCGGAAGAGGUUGGUGGAACAGCUAGUGUAGAGGUGAAAUUCGUAAGAUAUUAGCUAGAACACCAGUGGCGAAGGCGGCCAACUGGUCCGGUACUGACGCUGAGGUGCGAAAGCGUGGGGAGCAACAGGG